AAUAUUGCACAAUGGGGGAAACCCUGAUGCAGCGACGCCGCGUGAGCGAAGAAGGCCUNAGGGUUNUNAAGCUCUGUCCUAAGGGNCGAAACAGACGGUACCUUAUGAGGAAGCUCCGGCUAACUACGUGCCAGCAGCCGCGGUAAUACGUAGGGGGCGAGCGUUAUCCGGAAUUAUUGGGCGUAAAGGGUGCGUAGGCGGCCUUUUAAGUCAGAUGUGAAAGGAUACGGCUUAACCGUAGUUAGCAUUUGAAACUAAAAGGCUUGAGUGCAGGAGAGGAGAGUGGAAUUCCUAGUGUAGCGGUGAAAUGCGUAGAUAUUAGGAGGAACACCAGUGGCGAAGGCGACUCUCUGGACUGCAACUGACGCUGAGGCACGAAAGCGUGGGGAGCGAACAG
rnacentral:rRNA from 1 species